CGUUUCGUGACUACUGUCACUUAAUCAUGCUAUACAUACAAUACUCAGAGGUGGUUCUUUUAAACAGUUAUCUUGGCGCCAAUACAUUUUACUCUUGAGCGCCACCUGCUGCACAAAAUAUCUUACUCUUCAAACUUUCAAAAUUUAUACAAUUUGCAACAAGAUACUUUUUGUUCGAGAUACAUAGUUAAAACAUUUUUACAGCAGACAUACUAUCCUACAACAUUUAAAGCAGUUAUAACUAACCCUGAUAGCAGUACUACAUAUCUACAUACCAUUAUAAAUCAAAUUUAAUUAAACCUAUUCUUCACCAAAAGACUGACCAAUCAAAGUCCCUAUUCAUACCAUGUGGUACUAAUGAUCCCAAUCUAUGAAUCCAAUGCAUUUCUUUUUGUUUCAAUAUUUUCUCACGGUCACCACCCAUUCUCUGCGGACCCACAUAGUCUAUAACCUGCCAUCGGAGCUGACUGAUACUGUGUCCUUUCUCUAGGAAAUGAUUGGAUACAGGUGCCUCCCUGUUCCCACAUCUAAUAUUGGAGCGGUGAUGGCUCCAAUAUUAACACAAAAAAAAGUAUUAACACAAGAACAAGAAAAAUUACUUAACUUAGGACUUUCAUUCGCUCCAACAGUAAGGAUGAGCAAGUUUAACACCCAUAUUCACAUCAAAAAAUUUGUUAGGAACAUAACACUCAAAAGAUUCUUUAUGAAAAGUCCACUAGAGAAACAGAGUAUCACACAUAAUACUGAGACAAAUAAAUUUCAACAUACCAAUUUAAAAACAAAAUCUAAGUUUUAUCCAACAUAUGCUAAGGGGAACUACAUUGAUACGUUUGAAAAAAUAGUACUUAAUGAAGUAAAGAAAUGUCAACUACCUAAAAUAAGACAACAAAAUAUAAACAAAAAAGAAAGAGAGGCAUUAAAUAGACUUCAAAAAGAUCUUGAAAUAACUAUAAAACCGGCGGACAAGGGUGGGGGGGUUGUUGUAAUGGAUACAGAAAAAUAUUUGGUAGAAGCAUAUCGUCUCUUGGGAGAUGAGAAAACUUAUAAAAAAUUACCCCUAAAUCCAACUUUGAAGUUUACUAACAUUCUAAACAAAAUUUUAAGUGAAGGAAGUAAAAAAGGUGUACUAAAUGAAAAAGAAUUUAAUUAUUUAACUCCAAAACACUCUAAAACACCAAUUUUUUAUUUUCUACCCAAGGUCCAUAAAAGCCUCACAAACCCACCAGGUAGGCCGAUCAUAUCUGGCAUUAAUUCCAUCUCAGCCAACCUCUCCCAGUAUGUCGACAGGUUCCUACAGCCACAUGUGUCCAAACUUAAAUCACAUCUUAAAGAUUCAACUCAGAUACUUUAACCUGAAAUAGAGGAAGAAGUAUAUACCACCUUAAACUCUCCUGUGAAUGAGAAACACCAAUUAGACACACAGCCAAUCACACACCCUUGGAAUAUUUAAAAGGCCUUUACUGCAAGUCACAAUCAUCUUGAUAAAGCCCACAGGUGGGUGAAACGCGUCGAUUACCUUGUGACUUUGUAGCAGUAUACUAAGAGUGAAUAAAGUUCACCCCAUCUAGGAACAACAUCGCUAUUUUUAACCCGGGUUAAUUUCUUUACUACAAAUAUCUGACAGUGUGGAUGAAUCUGAAUAUCCAACUGCACCUGCAAGCUUAAACCUAUGAAUAGGGGGCUUGUGCACCGAAGAAGCUGAAAAAAUCUACAAUUUGGUAACACUGAAUAUCAGCACGCUACUAUACAACCUACAUAAGAAACAAUACGGACCAGGCGUGACGUCAGACGCCGUCCGUAAACGGCCGUCCAUACACACGUGUGAGAUCUGUGUUUGCUACUCGGGAGAGACUGUCUUGGCUCCCGCAGCGGUCCCUGGUGUGACUGAAGACUUCACAAGCGGUAAAGUAAAGUAUAAUACUGCUUGAACACUGUUAUAAUUUUGACACUAAGCACUUUACUACGUUUUCAAAUAUACUGGACAUUUACAGGACUAAUCUCCUCCAUUGGGAAAUAACACGCUAAUCUAUAUCACACAGUGAAUAUCUGCUGUAUCCUUUGGGCAUAUGCAUAUCUAAUUUUCUAACCUAACGCAUAAAGGUGUUUGUUUUAUCUAUCUUUAGUUUUAGCCAUUUACUGAUUUUUGCAAUUUUACAGAUCAUACAUGUAUUUUUUGUCUAUCUGUACUUUUAUAUUUAAUACAAUCUAGCAACAAGCUGUUACAUAGGAUUUUAUAAAUACCUAGGGAGACGUCCCUAUUUAGAUUGGUUGAUUUUAUGUUUAUAUGUUGAUUCUUAUGUCUAUAUGUUGAUUUUUAUUAAAUAAUUUUUAACACUAUACUGGUGUCUGAUACCUUUAGCCCUUGGCGCCCUCUCUAUCUAUAAGCCCUAAAAAGCUUAACACACCAUGAAUAGGGACUUUGAUUGGUCAGUCUUUUGGUGAAGAAUAGGUUUAAUUAAAUUUGAUUUAUAAUGGUAUGUAGAUAUGUAGUACUGCUAUCAGGGUUAGUUAUAACUGCUUUAAAUGUUGUAGGAUAGUAUGUCUGCUGUAAAAAUGUUUAAACUAUGUAUCUCGAACAAAAAGUAUCUUGUUGCAAAUUGUAUAAAUUUUGAAAGUUUGAAGAGUAAGAUAUUUUGUGCAGCAGGUGGCGCUCAAGAGUAAAAUGUAUUGGCGCCAAGAUAACUGUUUAAAAGAACCACCUCUGAGUAUUGUAUGUAUAGCAUGAUUAAGUGACAGUAGUCACGAAACGUCGCUCUAUCUUUUGUCAAUAAAGUUACUUUUUUAAGCAAA